UACGUAGGGGGCAAGCGUUGUCCGGAUUUAUUGGGCGUAAAGGGCGCGUAGGCGGCGCAACAAGUCACUUGUGAAAUCUCCGGGCUUAACCCGGAGCGGCCAAGUGAUACUGUCGUGCUAGAGUGCGGAAGGGGCUACUGGAAUUCUCGGUGUAGCGGUGAAAUGCGUAGAUAUCGAGAGGAACACCUGCGGCGAAGGCGGGUAGCUGGGCCGACACUGACGCUGAGGCGCGAAAGCGUGGGGAGCGAACAGG
rnacentral:rRNA from 1 species